GGGGUAACAGAUGAAGAGCUUGCUCAGAUUGCUGACGACCGGCGCACGGGUGAGUAACACGUAUGCAACCUACCUUUUACAGAGGAAUAGCCCAGAGAAAUUUGGAUUAAUACCUCAUAAUAUUUUUAACUCGCAUGAGUUUUAAAUUAAAACUUCGGUGGUAAAAGAUGGGCAUGCGUUCUAUUAGUUUGUUGGUGAGGUAACGGCUUACCAAGACUACGAUAGAUAGGGGUUCUGAGAGGAUAGUCCCCCACACUGGUACUGAGACACGGACCAGACUCCUACGGGAGGCAGCAGUGAGGAAUAUUGGUCAAUGGUCGAAAGACUGAACCAGCCAUGUCGCGUGAAGGAUGACGGCCCUAUGGGUUGUAAACUUCUUUUGUAUGGGAAGAAAAGCAGUUACGUGUAAUUGUCUGCCGGUACCAUACGAAUAAGGAUCGGCUAACUCCGUGCCAGCAGCCGCGGUAAUACGGAGGAUCCAAGCGUUAUCCGGAUUUAUUGGGUUUAAAGGGUGCGUAGGCGGCUCUAUAAGUCAGUAGUGAAAUCUCGAAGCUCAACUUCGAACGUGCUAUUGAAACUGUAGAGCUUGAGUACAGACGAGGCAGGCGGAAUGUGUUGUGUAGCGGUGAAAUGCUUAGAUAUAACACAGAACACCGAUAGCGAAGGCAGCUUGCCAGACUGUAACUGACGCUGAGGCACGAAAGCGUGGGGAGCGAACAGGAUUAGAUACCCUGGUAGUCCACGCCGUAAACGAUGAUUACUGGUUGUAGGCGAUACAUUGUCUGUGACUGAGCGAAAGUAUUAAGUAAUCCACCUGGGGAGUACGUCGGCAACGAUGAAACUCAAGGAUUGACGGGGGCCGCACAAGCGGAGGAA
rnacentral:rRNA from 1 species